rnacentral:tRNA from 1 species
UCCCUGGUGGCUCAGAUGGUAAAGAAUCUGCCUACAAUGCAGGAAACCCAGGUUCAAUUCCUGGGUUGGGAA